AGGAUCAUUACCGAAUCGUCAACAAGAGUUGUUGCUGGUCCUCAAAUGGGGGCAUGUGCACGCUCUGUUCACACAUCCACUCACUCCUGUGCACCCUCUGUAGUUCUAUGGUUGGGGGGCCCAUCCUCCCGCUAUGGUUCUGCGUCUUUACACACACACUGUAACAAAGUCUCAUGGAAUGCAUGCCGCGUUUAACGCAAUACAAUACAACUUUCAGCAACGGAUCUCUUGGCUCUCGCAUCGAUGAAGAACGCAGCGAAAUGCGAUAAGUAAUGUGAAUUGCAGAAUUCAGUGAAUCAUCGAAUCUUUGAACGCACCUUGCGCCCUUUGGCCAUUCCGAAGGGCAUGCCUGUUUGAGUAUCAUGAACACCUCAACUCUUUAUGGUUUUCCAUGAUGAGCUUGGACUUUGGGGGUUUUGCUGGCAAUACGGUCGGCUCCUCUAAAAUAAAUCANCUUGCCAGUGUAUGGUGGGCAUCACAGGUGUGAUAACUAUCUACGCUUGUGGUUUUCCCACCA
rnacentral:rRNA from 1 species